UGUAAUUAUAUCUUAGCUUAAACUGCUUUUUAAGUUGUUUUAUCGGGAUUUAACAAAACUAGGAAUUGUACUGCAUUAAUUUUCCCUGGUUUGUAAUGUGUUAUUUUUGUUAUUAGCUGCUUUAAAUGAGCCGAUGCGCCAUUUUCGCGACAUUUUGGCGCCAUUUUUCUUCUAUUUCGUGUUGACUUUUCUUUCUUUUCUGUGCAAUUUUCAGUUGUUUGGGGAAAGCACUAAAUCCCGGACAGCAAUGUAACAUUUGUUUUGUCUGUCGACCAGAUUAAAAGAAAUUAAAUCAACAUCGGAGCCCGAUCUUUAUCCACCUGACCUGACCACAACGCAGUCGAACUAGUUACACUUGGAGCCUCAGACUGAAGGAUUCAAUCAGCUGACGGGAGAUUUCUGGUCAAAAGAAGAAAGAAGUUCAGGAGGACAGAAAUGAGCGAUCCGUGAUCCUGAGGCGCCGCUGCCUCCAUGUUUUAUGCAGCACUGCAGCAGCGAUCACGCCGACCGCAGCACCGCCGCGCAUUCACCAAACCCCACAUCGAUAAAAGGUGACGUGACAAAUGCAACAGAGCAGAAUCCAGGAACCACGGAGGAGGAGCUGCAUGAGCGGAGAAGUCCACUCUGCCUCUCUAACAUGAUCCAGCGGUUCUGGAGGCUGGUUAGGGUCCAUUCUUUAUGAAAAAGAUCCUGAAGAAUGGAUCUUCUUACCGUUACGGACUCCUGGGUUUACCUGCUGCAGGAAACUCAGGUGUUUCAGGUGACGGAGUGACUCCUCAGGACAGCAGGAGGCUCAGUGAGGCAGAACCAGAGCAGGUUCUGGUCUUACUGCUACUGUUACUCUAUGGGCCGAAAAAGCCCAAAUCCUGCUGGUUCUUCAGAAACUGACUACCUGGAUCAGGUGUGUUCAGCCAGUAUGAAGCUAGAAUAGCAGCUCAGCUGGAAGCAGGACACGGUUCUGGAGUCUGACGGAGUUCUAAUGGAUUUAUGUGAAGCUGCUUUUGAGAGGGUGAACUGCUACAGGAAGGGGCGGGGCUAAGGUUUCGGAGGACCACAGACUGGGAGGAGCCGAGUGUCUCAGGAGCUUCAGGCUGCAGGACAGAACGAGCGUUCGCCGCCAGAGGACCACAGGAGGAAAACAGACGCUUUGGAGAGCGGCGGGGAAAUUGAGGAGAACGCCUUCAGGGGAGGCAAUCAUCCCCAAUAUGUCCGUCCCACCUUCACCCAGGCCGUGUGUUCCACAGCCUGUCGGCGCCGACGGUGGAGAACCGGGCUGGCGGCAGGAUUAAUGGGCGGCGGAUGGCGAGGCAUCUGCUGCUGCAGACGACGAUGGCGGCGCUGGACGCCUGUGGCUCUGACUUCCUGUCCUGAAGAGGCUUCUUCCUGUGUUACUAGCUCACUGCAGACGGCAGUUUGUCCAGCAUCUCACAAAUGAACCAUCCUGAUGUUUGACUGUCGAGAAGUCUUGGAGGAUUCCUCAUUUCUCCUGUUCCUGAUGUUCCUCUGCGGUUCUCCUGAUGUCAGACGAUCGGAAUGACAAACGCAGAUGGACUUCAGAUCAGAACAAAGACCCAAACUCACCUGGAGUUCCUCUGAAGUUCCUGAGGAAUGUUCAGACAGUAGUGCUCAGAGCAGAUGAUGCUGCAGUUUCCACCGGCAGAUGUUUCCCUUUUUCCUCUCCGUCUCUCAGAAAUCUUCAACCUCCUGAAGCCGCCUAACAGCUGCUUCCAUGAUGGCGUUCUGCUUCCAUCAGAGACGCGUUUCCACAGCCUGAGCAGGAACACAAACACCUCUGCUCAGAGGACGGGCUCGCUAGCGUGCACGGUAACGUGCACAGUAUCGUGCACGGUGACGUGCACAGGUAGCAUGCACAGUAACGUGCACAGCAACGUGCACGGUGACGUGCAUGGAAACAUGCACAGUAACGUGCAUGAAAUGCCACGCCCACAAAGCUCCGCCUCUGCUCCUCUGAUGUCUUCAUGACACUUUGAAUCUCUGAGGAGAAGCUGAAUCCUCUUCAUCACUGGAUGUUCUGUUGCGGUAAAACUUUAUUGAGACCAUUUUCAGACGCGCUCACAGACCUCAGAAGGAGCUGAGUUUACUUUCAGUUUAAAGGUUCCGUCCUUCAGAACAUCUCCAUUCCUGCUGGAGCAGAACCAGGUCCAGAGGAGCCUGAACAUCUGAAUCCUGGUCAUUAUACUGUCAGCAUCCAGGCUGAAGAAAGCAGAACGCUGACGUCAUGGAAACGGGCGGGAAGAAAAACACAUCACUUUAUUAUCUAAAGGAACCGUUAUCCAACAGUGAUGAUUCUUCUCCUUCAGAUGAUUCUUCUCCUUCAGAUGAUUCUGGCGUCGGAGUUUUGUAGUCGAUUGCAAAACAUUGCGUUCUCUUUUGUGAUUCGUGGCGUACUCGUUAGGAUCUCCUCAGUUCUGUCAUGUGAUGGUCAAUCCAGUAAUAUAUGCCAAUGACCUGGACCAAUCCUAGGUCAUGUGACGGCGGUCCAGUGGUCUAGACUAAUCCUAGAUCAUGUGACGGCGGUCCAGUGGUCUAGACUAAUCCUAGAUCAUGUGACGGCGGUCCAGUGGUCUGGACCAAUCCUAGGUCAUGUGACGGCGGUCCAGUGGUCUAGACUAAUCCUAGAUCAUGUGACGGCGGUCCAGUGGUCCGGACCAACCCAAGGUCAUGUGACAGCGGUCCAGUUGUUUGGACCAAUCACAAUCUUGCACACCAUCAUCUCAUAACCCUUUUAAUGCAUCAGGCAGCUGCACACAUACGGUACCAGCACCGGUUCUGACCAGCUCCCACUGCGAGCCUCUGGGUUCUUGGACCUCCUCGCCGCCUCAGCCGUGGUCCUGAUGAUGACGGCGGCGCCUGGAGGCUGCGGCGUGAUGGAGGAGGAGCAGACUCUGACUCGGAGCUGCUCUCCUCUCAUCUUCUCCUCCCACGUCCGCUCUGCACAGCGGCGCCGUCACCCUCCAGUCCACAGGAGCAUGGCGCCCCCCAGAGGAUUCCAGCCCCGCAGCAGCAGAGAGGGGGCAUCAUGAAUAUUUCACCAGCUUUAAUUCUGCUUAGAUGUGCAUCUAAUUGGGCCUAAGUGGUACCGCUCGGCUCUGAGCAGCUUCACUGAUGCUUCGCUCGCUCCUCCAGAACCAACGACUGAAACGCUGCAGCUGCUGAAGGGGUCACGUUUACAGAACGCUCUGAGGCGGAGCGGCAUCACGCCACGCAGAGUGGACCGACCGCGCACGGUUCUGGUUCUGAAUAAAAAGGCUGUUGUCUUGUAAAUGUUUCAUAUUUUUAUGACAUUUUUUAUUCUUCCAUUAGACCCUCAAACAUUGAUAUAAAGCAGUUCUCACAGAAAAUAUUUCACUUUAUAUUUAUGUUUUCUUUAGUAAAUAUUUGUUUAUGUGAUCAGACGGGAAAAAACAAGAAUUGUUUUAUUAAAACAUUUUACUUUAAAUUUUGAAGAAAUGAACAAAUAUCCACAUGUAUGAUUAUAACCAAAGUAAAUCGUGAAAAAA